rnacentral:tRNA from 1 species
GCGGACAUGAUGCAAUUCGGCAGACAUCCUCGACUCAAAAUCGGGGUCUUGGGGGUUCGAAUCCCUCUGUCCGCA